rnacentral:other from 1 species
GAACUUCUGGGGUGCACGACAACUCUUGCUAUUUUGAACCUACAUUUAUUUUCAAGGGAAAUUGAUAUUUAUGAGCGGAUGUCAUGCCUGCUUCGACUGGACGGCAGAUUCUCAUGUGAAAUUACCCACCUAGCUAUGCUAGGACUCAAAAUGCAGGAAACGGCAUUUCCGGUUGUUCU